rnacentral:lncRNA from 1 species
AUGUCACUCGGGGUUGUGAAUAUUCCACCCCCUGAGCGACAUAAGUCACACCGACAUAAGUGGUUGUGUGCACAUCACUAUGUCGGCUGGAGAGCUUCUCCUGCCAACAUAGCUUAUGCUGCUUGUGGAGCUGAUGUUUUUGUUUUUUUUAAUAUGCCAACGGGAGAGCUUCUGUGCUGCUGCAGUGCUGUACGUAUAGACAUACCCUUAGAUUCAGUCAUGUUCCUUCCCUUGUUCUGCUUGUGGCCAGAACACAGAACAUCAAAUAUCUAGGCUUGUUCAUGAACAAACACUUCUAUUUUGCAUACACUAUACUAAACUGAAAGGUCAGUGACAGGUUGCAAGAUUUUUGAUGAGGUGUGCACGCAUGUAUUGCAUCUGUAUAUACACACCUGAGACCAGGCAGAAAUCAAGGGAUUUUAAUGAUAUGAUAACAAGAAGACUGAGGAUAAAGUGGUUUGUCAGCAAAACACUGAGUAGUAUAACUGGGAUGUGUAUCUUGAAAGGCAGGACGAAAAAAGUUUGCUUUUUAUUUAAUUUAAAGUUACACACAGUGUUUGCAUAGGAUCCUGUUUCUAAAAGGAACAUAGCAGAAAUUGGGAUGGAGAGGAAAACCAUACAUUAAAAAAAAAAAGUGAGUUAGCUCAGCCGAUCACUAUGGAUUUGUGUGCAUUUAGCCAAUAGGUGAAACUGUUGUAUAAUUUGUUAACUUUUUCAAAGCAAAAUGAUUUCAGGUGAGACAAGUUGUUUUUUCCAGAUCUUUGAAAAUAUAAUUUUAUGAACUCUUUGCACAUUAAUAACAUCUUUCAUUUGACCAUCAAGACAUUACAAAUAUUAACUAAACGUCACUGUGGCAGGGAGCAGCCUCUCCUCCUGUCGUCUUCUGCACAUAUGCACACACAACUUGGAGACUUUCUGCUUGUUAACACCAUGGGUGGUUUAUGCACAGUGUUAUCUCGCCAUCUUUACAGCAUUGCCCAGUACCUUAUUUACAACAGCAGAUCAACAGCCGCCCCCUAAGUCAAGGAUAGGAGAGGUAGGAGCUCUCUCCUUCAGCUCUCUCUUGGGACCAACUCCAAGAGCCUGCCUCUCUCCUCCCCAUGGAGCUUCUUGCCCAGGCCUUUUCUACUUUCUGAGCUAAUUAUCCUCCAGAUCUCUCCAGCCCAUUCCCAAUCUAUCAAUUAGGCAUAAUUACCACUGUCAGGUUUACUCCCGGGGAACCCAUUGGAGGUGCAGUGACUAGGGUGCUGGUUCAGCUGCUGUUACCCAGCCC